rnacentral:rRNA from 1 species
UACGAAGGGGGCUAGCGUUGCUCGGAAUCACUGGGCGUAAAGGGCGCGUAGGCGGCUUUGUAAGUCGGGGGUGAAAGCCUGUGGCUCAACCACAGAAUUGCCUUCGAUACUGCAUGGCUUGAGACCGGAAGAGGUUAGUGGAACUGCGAGUGUAGAGGUGAAAUUCGUAGAUAUUCGCAAGAACACCAGUGGCGAAGGCGGCUCACUGGCCCGAUACUGACGCUGAGGCACGGAAAGCGUGGGGAGCAAACAGG